CCGCUGAGCUCCUGUCCUGCCUCCUGGAAGCCUGUGGGUUGCUAACAACCCCGUGAGGACACCAAUGCAGUUGGAAAGAGGAGAUGCAGAGGCAACACAUGAAGUGUUUGAGCUCCACAGAGGAUUGGAACAAGCAACCUAUGUGUCCCGGGACAGCUGUACAGAGCACGAAUCAGUCUGGGGAUCAAUCUCCGCUUCAAACAAAGGGUAUUUUGAAAAUGAACCGGCUUUUAAUUCCAGCUCGCGAUGCACACUUUGGACUGAAAUCAAAUCUAGAAAUAGCGAUGUGUCAAGGAGAAGCUGAAACCUCACGCUCUGGGUGCAAUCAUAAAACUUGCUGCUGCAGCUUCUAAUCAGGGAAGAGAUCAUCUAAUCAAAAUAGUGCUUUAGAGAAAGAACACUUUAAUAGCAAACGUGAGUGAGGAGCUCUAACUACUGAUGAAAACUCCACUGCUCGGAAGUCCUCUGCCGGAUGGGGAAGCAAAGGAUAAAGGAGAAGCAGAGGUGCUGAGCCCCUGUUACCUGCAGCAGAAGUCCCCCCUUGACACUCCUGUGUGCACUGAGGAGAGAAGCAGGGAGCUGAAAGGGACAGCUUUCAUUGUCGGCCUUAUACGCAGACUCUUCUGAUGCCAACUGGGAGCGUUGGGCCACGCGGGAG